CCCUAACACCAGAUCUACCUCUCACUCAACCUUCUCUCCCCAAACCAAAUCGUCGACUUCUUCUUCCACGCUUGCCUCUCUUCUUCUUCGAAUAUAUAGGAAGAUAGGCGAGAAGUAUGGAGUGGAGUACUCAGAGGCUGAGAUUUUGAACAGAUACAGAAGGGCUUA